GACGAACGCUGGCGGCGUGCUUAACACAUGCAAGUCGAACGGAGUGGCGAACGGGUGAGUAAUACGUGGGUGAACAGCCUUGCACUUCGGGAUAAGCUUGGGAAACUGGGUCUAAUACCGGAUAGUGCAAGAUGAGCUCGCGGCUUAUCAGCUUGUUGGUGGGGUAAUGGCCUACCAAGGCGUCGACGGGUAGCCGGCCUGAGAGGGUGUACGGCCACAGUGGGACUCAGAUACAGCCCAGACGCCUACGGGAGGCAUCGGUGUGGAAUAUUGCACAAUAGGCGGAAGCCUGAUGCAGCGACGCCGCGUGGGGGAUGAAUGCCUUCGAGUUGUAAACUCCUUUCGACAGUGACGCGGUACCUGUAUAGGAAGCACCGGCUAACUACGUGCCAGCAGCCGCGGUAAUAC
rnacentral:rRNA from 1 species